rnacentral:rRNA from 1 species
GCUCGAGUGGCGAACGGGUGAGUAACACGUGAGUAACCUGCCCUUGACUUUGGGAUAACUUCAGGAAACUGGGGCUAAUACCGGAUAGGAGCUCCUGCUGCAUGGUGGGGGUUGGAAAGUUUCGGCGGUUGGGGAUGGACUCGCGGCUUAUCAGCUUGUUGGUGGGGUAGUGGCUUACCAAGGCUUUGACGGGUAGCCGGCCUGAGAGGGUGACCGGCCACAUUGGGACUGAGAUAGGCCCAG